AGGAGAGUUUGAUCCUGGCUCAGGAUGAACGCUGGCGGCGUGCUUAAUACAUGCAAGUCGAACGGAUGAAGGAAGAAAGCUUGCUUUCUUCCCGAUUCAGUGGCGAACGGGUGAGUAAUACGUAGGCAACCUGCCCCAAAGCGGGGGAUAGCAGUUGGAAACGACUAUUAAUACCGCAUAGGUAAUAGGGAGGCAUCUCCUUAUUAUUAAAGGUGCGUUUGCACCGCUGUGGGAUGGGCUUACGCUGUAUUAGCUAGUUGGUGAGGUAACGGCCCACCAAGGCGAUGAUACAUAGCCGGUCUGAGAGGAUGAACGGCCACAUUGGGACUGAGACACGGCCCAGACUCCUACGGGAGGCAGCAGUAAGGAAUUUUCGGCAAUGGACGAAAGUCUGACCGAGCAACGCCGCGUGAGUGAUGAAGGUCUUCGGAUCGUAAAGCUCUGUGGUAAAGGAAGAAUACCAUGUUUAGGAAAUGAUUCAUGGCUGACGGUACUUUACUAGAAAGUCACGGCUUACUACGUGCCAGCAGCCGCGGUAAUACGUAGGUGGCAAGCGUUAUCCGGAUUUAUUGGGCGUAAAGGGUGCGCAGGCGGUCUGUUUAGUCUGAGGUGAAAGCGUUGAGCUUAACUCAAUUAAGCCUCGGAUACUGGCAGACUAGAGUGCAGAAGAGGGUUAUGGAAUUCCAUGUGUAGCGGUAAAAUGCGUAGAUAUAUGGAGGAACACCGGCGGCGAAGGCGGUAACCUGGUCUGUUACUGACGCUCAGGCACGAAAGCGUGGGGAGCAAAUAGGAUUAGAUACCCUGGUAGUCCCCU
rnacentral:rRNA from 1 species